CUUUGCAAAAAUAGAAACUAAGGUGGAUGUCAAUAGGGUUUGGUGUCAGCCUCAAUGAUUGCUGGUUUUGUAAGCAACAGCAUAUGGUGUAUAGGGUGGCACUGGCCUUCAUUUGUGACACCAGGCUCUUUUUGCAAGAUGGGUCAACAGAUGGGUACUUGGUAGCUAGCUGCUGUGCAUGUUAGGUUACUUGGCUGCAGCAAUCUUUUAACUUGGUUUUAUUUUGAAGUUGCCAGGGAGCGGCAACAGGGAGCCGAUGGGGGUCCCAGGACAUGCAAGGCAAGUGGGACAGACCCCAAGGCCGUGGUGACGUCUUGCCACAGGCAAUGCCACAGUGAUGAGGCAGGUCCAGGGUCAAGCCGGGAAGUUGAUGUGUAGUUCAGGCUUAGUAUCAGGCCCAGCGAUGCCUUCAGAGGUCCACAGUGUCCAGAGUUGAAGGGAGCAUGGGCAGCUCAGCUGGAGACCAGCUCGCCUCCACUGCAGUUCAGACAGGGCCUGUGGGCUGAGCCAAAAUGUGGCUCCUGGUCCCGUGGGUGUCAGGGGGCUGGGACAUGGCUGGUCAGGGCCAGAGAGGUGUAUUGGUGUUCUCAGGGCCCUGGCAGAAAUGGCUGAGGUGAUGGAGCACCCCGUCCUCCUGUUGGUUUUUUGAUUUUAUUACAGUUGUUACAAUGCCUUUCACAGACAGCAUAGAACCUCUUUGGAAAUUGCUAAUCUGCAGAAACUAGUGCAAGUAACUUAAGCUUCCAUACAACAAAUUUGGAUGUUGCAUGGUUAGAGAUGAACAGGACACGCUCGUCAGAAUGGCCUGAACCCGUGAACCAGAUCAGUUACUAAAAUGCCGGGACGUCCAGCAAGGGUGCUAGCAGCAUGAGCUCAGAAAGGGAUUCGGAGACCACCUUUGAUGAGGAUUCCCAGCCUAAUGAUGAGGAUAUGCCAUACAGUGAUGAUGAAACUGAGGAUGAAUUGCAGAGUCAGCAGCCUCCGGUUGAACCAGGACAAAACCAAAUCAACAGAGACACUGAGGAGAGCCAAGAACAAUUGAAAAAAGACUGCAGCUGGCAAGUUAAAGCGAAUGAUCAAUACUUCUGCGAACAGCCCCAGUUUAAGAGAACUGUAUUUCUGUGCUUCAAAAAAAGCAAAUAUGCAGGAAACGCAAUUAAAACAUACAAGUACAACCCUGUCACUUUUUUACCAAUGAAUCUGUUUGAACAGUUUAAAAGAGCAGCCAACUUCUAUUUCCUUGUUCUUCUCAUUUUGCAGUCAAUUCCCCAAAUAACUACCCUGUCAUGGUAUACAACAUUGGUGCCCUUACUCUUGGUGCUGGGAAUAACUGCAGUCAAAGACCUAGUGGAUGACAUUGCUCGUCACAGGAUGGACAACGAGGUUAAUAAUAGGACAUGCGAAGUCAUCAGAGAGGGAAGGUUCAAAAACACAAAGUGGAAAGACAUUAAAGUUGGUGAUAUCAUUCGUCUGAAGAAAAAUACUUUCGUUCCUGCUGAUAUUUUGCUGCUCUCCAGCUCAGAACCAAACAGUCUCUGCUACGUAGAGACAGCUGAACUAGAUGGUGAGACUAACUUAAAAUUCAAAAUGGCACUUGAAGUAACACACAGAUAUCUUCAAGAAGAAAGUGCGAUGGCAGACUUUAAUGGUCUGAUUGAAUGUGAAGAACCUAAUAACCGACUGGAUAAGUUUACAGGAACAUUAUACUGGAGAAACACGACUUAUUCACUGGAUGCUGAUAAGAUUUUGUUACGUGGAUGUAAAAUCAGGAAUACAGACUUCUGCCAUGGAGUGGUCAUAUUUGCAGGUGCUGAUACAAAAAUAAUGAAAAAUAGUGGAAAGACAAGAUUUAAAAGGACAAAAAUUGACUCCCUUAUGAAUUACAUGGUUUAUACUAUCUUUAUCGUCCUCAUCCUGCUGUCGGCUGGCCUUGCGAUUGGACACACUUACUGGGAGCAGCAGAUCGGCAACUUGUCUUGGUACCUCUAUGACGCGCAAGACUUCAGUCCGCCGUAUCGUGGCUUCCUUAACUUUUGGGGAUAUAUCAUUGUUCUGAACACGAUGGUUCCCAUUUCCCUCUAUGUGAGUGUUGAAGUGAUUCGCUUGGGCCAAAGCUAUUUUAUAAACUGGGACCUGCAAAUGUAUUACCCUGAGAAGGACACAGCUGCGAAGGCCAGAACCACCACGCUGAAUGAGCAGCUGGGGCAGAUCCACUACAUCUUCUCUGAUAAGACAGGAACACUUACACAGAACAUCAUGACGUUUAAAAAAUGUUGCAUAAACGGACAAAGAUACGGAGUCUGCCGGGAUGAAGCAGGGCAGCUUCAGAGCCACCCAGAGCAAGUGGAUUUCAGCUGGAACAAGUAUGCAGAUGGAAAGUUCUCAUUCUAUGAUCACUAUCUGAUAGAGCAAAUAAAAUCUGGGAAGGAGCCAGAAAUUCAUAAGUUCUUUUUUCUGCUUGCCAUUUGUCACACAGUCAUGGUUGAUGCUUCUGAUGGUCAGCUCAAUUACCAAGCAGCUUCCCCAGAUGAAGGGGCCCUGGUUAUUGCAGCCAGAAACUUUGGCUAUGUUUUUCUGUCACGAACACAAAAUACUAUCACUAUAAGUGAAAUGGGGAUUGAAAGAACUUAUGAUGUCCUUGCAAUCUUGGAUUUCAACAGUGAUAGAAAACGGAUGUCUGUCAUUGUAAGGGAAUCAGGUGGAAAUAUCAGGCUGUAUUGUAAAGGGGCUGAUACAGUAAUUUAUGAACGGUUGCACCCAAGGAAUCUAAAGAGAGAAGCCACAGAAGAAGCACUAGAUAUUUUUGCAAAUGAAACUCUUAGGACACUCUGCCUGUGCUACAGAGACAUUAGUCAUGAUGAAUUUGAAGCUUGGAAUAAAAAAUUUAUGGAGGCCAGUGUAGCUACAACUCAUCGUGAUGAAGCUCUGGACAAAGUAUAUGAGGAAAUAGAAAAAAACUUAACUCUGCUUGGUGCGACAGCUAUUGAAGACAAACUACAGGAUGGAGUUCCAGAAACCAUUUCCAGACUUUCAAAAGCAGACAUUAAAAUCUGGGUGCUUACGGGUGACAAAAAAGAAACUGCUGAAAAUAUUGGAUUUUCUUGUGAACUCUUAACAGAUGAAACAAUAAUCUGCUAUGGAGAAGAUACCAGUGCUCUUCUUCAAACCAGGUUGGAAAACCAGAGGAACAGAGCUGGAUCAAGUACACAUUCCUCUCUUAGAAUGAAUGAGCCCUUCUUCCAGGGUAGUAAAGAUCGUGCUUUAAUAAUCACUGGCUCCUGGUUGAAUGAAAUCCUGCUAGAGAAGAAAAAGAAGAAAAAGAAAUUGAAACUGAAAUUCCCCAGGACAGCAGAAGAGAAAAAAAAGCAAACUGAGAAGAGAAGAAGGGCUGAAGCUUACAAAGAACAGCAACAGAAGAACUUUGUUGAUUUGGCCUGUGAAUGCAGGGCUGUGAUCUGCUGUCGAGUGACUCCGAAGCAGAAAGCCAUGGUGGUUGAGCUUGUGAAGAAGUACAAGAAAGCUAUUACUCUGGCUAUUGGGGACGGUGCCAAUGAUGUAAACAUGAUUAAAACUGCCCAUAUUGGAGUUGGAAUCAGUGGCCAAGAAGGGAUGCAAGCUGUUAUGUCAAGUGACUACUCUUUUGGGCAAUUCCGCUACCUCCAAAGACUGCUGCUGGUCCACGGACGAUGGUCUUACAUUAGGAUGUGCAAGUUUUUAAGAUAUUUUUUCUACAAGAACUUUGCUUUUACGCUAGUCCACAUCUGGUAUUCAUUCUUUAAUGGCUUUUCUGCCCAGACAGCAUAUGAAGACUGGUUCAUCACACUGUACAAUGUAUUGUAUUCUAGUCUUCCGGUUCUGCUGGUUGGGUUGCUUGACCAGGAUGUGAGUGACAAAUUGAGUCUUCGGUUCCCUAGACUGUAUGUUUUGGGACAGAAGGAUUUACUUUUUAACUACAAGAAAUUCUUUUUAAGUUUGCUUCAUGGAGCUAUAACUUCCUUGAUAAUCUUCUUCAUACCAUAUGGAGCUUACCUUAAAACCAUGGGACAAGAUGGAGAAGCACCUUCAGAUUAUCAGUCAUUUGCUGUCACAGCAGCAUCUUCUCUUAUAUUUGUCGUCAAUUUUCAGGCAAGUGAGCUUAGCUUCCCCAUCUCUUGUUGCUCUGAAAACACUUUCUGGUUGUGUUUCAAAAUUUGUCUACUAAAAACAUAACAGUAUGUAAAAAAGCUUCUCUUUUUUGCCUUCUCUAUUCUCUGUUGAUGUGCUCUGGCUGGCUGACUUGUAACUGGAUAAGAGAUUACUCAACCAAAAUGCUAUCAGUCUUCAGAGUAGUUGACAUUAUUUUAAAUUAAUAAACUCAUUUGGAGGUUUUGUUUGCUUUCAGAUUGGCUUGGAUACAUCUUACUGGACUUUUGUUAAUGCUUUUUCAGUAUUUGGAAGUAUUGCACUUUACUUUGGUAUCACAUUUGACUUCCACAGUGCUGGAAUCCAUGUUCUCUUUCCUUCUGGCUUUCACUUCACAGGAACUGCUCCAAAUGCUCUGAGACAGCCAUACCUCUGGUUGACCAUGAUUUUAUCAAUUGCUAUUUGCUUACUUCCUGUAGUGGCACAGCGUUUCUUAUCUAUGACAAUUCGGCCUUCAGAAAGUGAUAGAAUUCAGAAGAACUGUAAGAAAUAUGUGGCAGAAGAACAACAGUGGAAGCAACGGCAGAGUGCUUUUCGCCGAGGGAUAUCUGGCCGUCGUUCUGCUUACGCUUUCUCCCAUCAGCGAGGAUAUGCUGAUCUUAUUGCUUCCGGACGCAGCAUACGGAAGAAACGGGCUCCUUUGGAUGGAGUCCUGGGCAACAGUAUGACACAAGUCAGAGAUGCUCAUGAAACGAGCUGAUUUACUGCAUUUUGGGAGAAGCCCCAAUGAUUGCACAAAAAAAAAUAUUUAAAAAAAACUCAGGAUAUUUUUUUUAACCAAAGGGCAUAAGGGUGUGAAGAUUUUUAUGUUUUAUCCCAGAACUUCCUGGCUUUGGACUACUGGAAACAUAGAAAGGCCAAGAGUUCUCUAUGGAGCUACUAAUCCUCAUGCAACUGAUUUCUUUUUAAUGUGAAAGUGAAGGAUAUCUGUGCUAGGGCAUGAAAACCCAGCAUUGUAAUAAGGUUGUUUGGUGGUUACUUUUUUUUAAAGUGGUGCCUGGAAUUGCAGAGUUUUUUCUCAUUUUAAUAAUGUGUUGGUAUAAAACUGUAGCUACAUUUCAUAUUUUGUCUUUUAAAGCAAAACUGCUAAGUAGCAAUAACCUUGUGUGCGCCAUUUCAUUUAAUUGCACAGUCAUAAUGGCAAAUCAGAUGAUCAGUCUUUUGAGAGGGCCCCAGAUAUCCUCAUCUGAGCUUGUACAGCUGAGAUUAAGAUAUAUCUGGUGAUAAACUGCAGUCAGUGUCAGUUUUUAUUAGUAAUUCUGACAUUUACAGGUGUGGUUUCUGUUCCUUUCUCUUCCUUCAACAGUUGACUACAGCUUGCUGCGCUAGAUGGAGAGAGAUCAUUCUUUGCAUCCUGUUAGAAUGAGUGAUAUGCCCUUAUUCCUUUCAUAGCAAAUUCCUUGUUUUCCCCUGAAAUAAAGAGAUCAGAGUCAAUAGUUAACAGUAUUUUUUCUCACUUGCUCUGUGUUUCUCUGCCUGUCUCUUUCCAGUUCUAGAAUAUGUUUGAGUCUACGUACACAGUGUAUUUAUGAACAGAAAAUCUCUGGAAAGCCGCCCUUUGAGCUGGCCAAAGCUUGUUCAUUUCUGUUUUAGAUACAGCAGUAAUGGAUAACUAGAAAACAGUUGCUUUUAGAUGGAAUAUGUUUCACUUGCUAGUGAGUCAGCUCUGACAAUGUAAGAAGUGUUUUUAUGAGAGUCUCUUUACAGUUGCACAUACUUCUGCUCUUGAAGUUGAGAUGUAUGAAUGUUUCACUUUUACCUGUGUCCAACUCCUGGAGUAAGGUUUAUUACUGAAAUGGUUUUAUAGUAAAAAUCAUGAUAUACAGCUCUUGUUUAAAGGAAUGUACAUUUCAAAAAGUCUAAUGCAAAUAAAUAUCCUAGAGUUUA